rnacentral:rRNA from 1 species
UCCUGGCUCAGGAUGAACGCUGGCGGCGUGCUUAACACACGCAAGUCGAACGAAGCGCUUACAUCUCUUCGUAGUGAUGAGUGACUGAGUGGCUGGACGGGUAGAGUAACGCGUGGGUAACCUGCCUGGUACAGGGGGACAACACUUGGAAACGACUGCUAAUACCGCAUAAGCGCACGGUAUCGCAUGAUACAGUGUGAAAAGCUGAGGCGGUACGAGAUGGACCCGCGUUGGAUUAGGUAGUUGGUGGGGUAACGGCCUACCAAGCCGACGAUCCAUAGCCGACCUGAGAGGGUGACCGGCCACAUUGGGACUGAGACCCGGCCCAAACUCCUUCGGGAGGCAGCAGUGGGGAAUAUUGCACAAUGGGCGAAAGCCUGAUGCAGCGACGCCGCGUGAACGAUGAAGUAUUUCGGUAUGUAAAGUUCUAUCAGCAGGGAAGAAAAUGACGGUACCUGACUAAGAAGCUCCGGCUAAAUACGUGCCAGCAGCCGCGGUAAUACGUAGGGGGCGAGCGUUGUCCGGAAUGUCUGGGCGUAAAGGGCGCGUAGGCGGCCUGAUAAGUUAGAGGUGAAAUUCCAGCUUUCAAGGUUGGAACUGCCUUUAAUACUGUUGGGCUUGAGUGCGGAAGAGGUAAGUGGAAUUCCCAGUGUAGCGGUGAAAUGCGUAGAGAUUGGGAGGAACCCCCGUGGCGAAGGCGACUUACUGGGCCGUAACUGACGGUGAGGCGUGAAAGCGUGGGGAGCCAACAAGAUUAGAUACCCUGGUAGUCCACGCGGUAAACGAUGAAUGCUAGGUGUAGGGGGUAUCGACCCCUCUUGUGCCGGAGUAAACACAAUAAGCAUUCCGCCUGGGGAGUACGGCCGCAAGGUUGAAACUCAAAGGAAUUGACGGGGGCCCGCACAAGCAGCGGAGCAUGUGGUUUAAUUCGACGCAAUGCGAAGAACCUUACCAGGUCUUGACAUCGAUGUAAACCCCAAGAAAUUGGGAGUGGUUUCGGCCGACAGAAGACAGGUGGUGCAUGGUUGUUGUCAGCUUGUGUUGUGAGAUGGUGGGUUAAGUCCCGCCACGAGCGCCACCCUUAUUGUCAGUUACUAACGGGUAAAGCCGAGGACUCUGACAAGACUGCCAGGGAUAACCUGGAGGAAGGUGGGGAUGACGUCAAAUCAUCAUGCCCCUUAUGACUUGGGCUACACACGUGCUACAAUGGCGUAAACAAAGGGAAGCAAACCUGCGAGGGCGAGCAAAUCUCAAAAAUAACGUCCCAGUUCGGACUGCAGUCUGCAACUCGACUGCACGAAGCUGGAAUCGCUAGUAAUCGCGAAUCAGAAUGUCGCGGUGAAUACGUUCCCGGGUCUUGCACACACCGCCCGUCA